UACGUAGGGUGCGAGCGUUGUCCGGAAUUAUUGGGCGUAAAGGGCUCGUAGGCGGUUUGUCGCGUCGGGAGUGAAAUCCACUGGCUUAACUGGUGGCUUGCUUUCGAUACGGGCAGACUGGAGGUAUGCAGGGGAGAACGGAAUUCCUGGUGUAGCGGUGAAAUGCGCAGAUAUCAGGAGGAACACCGGUGGUGUAGACGGCUCACUGGACCAUAACUGACGCUGAGACACGAAAGCGUGGGUAGCAAACAGG
rnacentral:rRNA from 1 species